rnacentral:rRNA from 1 species
UACGAAGGGGGCUAGCGUUGCUCGGAAUUACUGGGCGUAAAGGGCGCGUAGGCGGCUUGUCAAGUCACUUGUGAAAUCUCUGGGCUUAACCCAGAACGGCCAAGUGAAACUGACAUGCUAGAGUGCAGAAGGGGCAAUCGGAAUUCUUGGUGUAGCGGUGAAAUGCGUAGAUAUCAAGAGGAACACCUGAGGUGAAGACGGGUUGCUGGGCUGACACUGACGCUGAGGCGCGAAAGCCAGGGGAGCAAACGGG